rnacentral:tRNA from 1 species
GCCCUCGUAGCUCAAUAGGAUAGAGCGCUUGCUUGCGGAGCAAAAGGUUGGGGAUUCGAAUUCCUCCGAGGGCGCCA